CAGCAACAGAGGGGACUAGCAGCGAAUAUGUAAGUGUCUGAGCAGUGAAGGUUACGGAAAAGGUCCAGGCUAAGGUUUUCUCAGUGGAUAUACUUUACACCAAAUCUCAGAAGAUUCAGAACUUAGAUGAGUGGGGCCCAGGACAGGAACCCUGGAGCCUUGGAAGGAGGGGAGCCCCAUCUCCCCAGAAGAGCAGUGACCCCAGCAGAGAGGGGCCUGGUGUAUCACUGGAGGAAAUAGCCUGCCAAGGAAUACACGUCUUCAGAAGAAAUUCUGUGUGGCUUCAAGAGACUGAUCAAAUUGUGAGAGGAAAACAGCCUACCCGGUAAUUGUAGUUAAAUUACUGUUUUUUAUUCUAGGCACUCUUCAAACUUCCUCCUGACUCUGCCCCUGUCCUAG
rnacentral:lncRNA from 1 species